rnacentral:rRNA from 1 species
UACAGAGGGUGCGAGCGUUAAUCGGAAUGACUGGGCGUAAAGGGUGCGUAGGUGGUUAAUUAAGUUAGCUGUGAAAGCCCCGGGCUUAACCUGGGAAUGGCAGCUAAAACUGGUUGGCUAGAGUAGGUGAGAGGAGUGUGGAAUUUCCGGUGUAUCGGUGAAAUGCGUAGAGAUCGGAAAGAACACCAGUGGCGAAGGCGGCACUCUGGGACCAUACUGACACUGAGGCACGAAGGCGUGGGGAGCAAACAGG